AGUGAACGCUGGCGGUAGGCCUAACACAUGCAAGUCGAACGGCAGCACAGUAAGAGCUUGCUCUUACGGGUGGCGAGUGGCGGACGGGUGAGGAAUACAUCGGAAUCUACUUUUUCGUGGGGGAUAACGUAGGGAAACUUACGCUAAUACCGCAUACGACCUACGGGUGAAAGCAGGGGAUCUUCGGACCUUGCGCGAUUGAAUGAGCCGAUGUCGGAUUAGCUAGUUGGCGGGGUAAAGGCCCACCAAGGCGACGAUCCGUAGCUGGUCUGAGAGGAUGGUACACCCACACUGGAACUGAGACACGGGCCAGCCCCCGAGGGGAGGCAGAGGGGGGGAAUAUUGGCAAUGGGGGGCAAGCCUGCACCAGCCAUACCGGGUGGGUGAAAAAGGCCUUCGGGUUGUAAAGCCUUUUUUUUGGGAAAAAAAGGCAGCGGGUUAAACCCCCGCUGUUCUGCGGGUACCCAAAAAAAAAGCACCGGCUAACUUCGU
rnacentral:rRNA from 1 species